CAAGAGCGUAUAUUAAAGUUGUUGCAGUUAAAAAGCUCGUAGUUGGAUUUCUGGUAUAAUGCGCCUGGCCCGCUCCGUUUCGGAGUGAGUGCCGGUGCGCGUUUGCCAUCCUUCUAGAAAACGUUUCUACCCUUCGCCGGGCCGGAUUCGCGAUCUAGAUCUUUUACUUUGAAAAAAUUAGAGUGUUUAAAGCAGGCUUUUGCUAUGAAUACAUUAGCAUGGAAUAAUAAUCUAGGACUUCGGUUCUAUUUUGUUGGUUUCUAGUACUGAAGUAAUGAUUGAUAGGGAUAGUUGGGGGUGCUAGUAUUGACCGGCCAGAGGUGAAAUUCUUGGAUUCGGUCAAGACUAACUUAUGCGAAAGCAUUCACCAAGGAUGUCUUCUUUAA
rnacentral:rRNA from 1 species